UACAGUGGCCUCAUGACAAGUGGAGCUGUGUCAUCUGAAUUCCUGACCUGAGCAAUUCCAACUGGGAGCCCCUAGAAGAGAGGAGUUGGAUUUUGUUCAUUUUUGCAUCUUCAAAACUUGGAACCUAGGAGCCCCUCCGAAAAUGUGGAUUGGAUGAAUGGCUGGUUAGCACACCCCACCCACUCGCCUCGCCUGUGCACUUCAGACCGAGGGCUGGUGUGAGAGUUUCUCUCUGACGCUGCUCAUGCUCACCCGCUCCUGAAAGCCCCAUCAGAGGAUUCAGCAAUCUGUUUAGUCACUAGCCCAUGAGGCUUCACUUUUGGGGAAGAUUCACCAGCUCCUCUUUCUUCAUGGCCUCCGGUGGCUGUAAGGGAGAUGAGGGAGAAUAUUGUUGCUGGGUUGGUGAAAAGUUACUCUGUGCCAGGCGGUUACUCUGGAGCCAACACCAGACCUCCAUUAUCACAUUUAAUCCUCACAAUGACACUGUGGGAAAGCUUCUCCAAGUACUUUCCAGAAUGAUGUGUGGACAGCUGUUGACACAACACACAUGGACCUCAAGCUGGGGAUACUGUGAGCAAGGCUCACACAGAAUAUUUGAGGCUGCUUUGAGCAACAGCAUCAGCAACAGCUGUAAUCACCUCUUGAGUCCCUAUCGUGUGCAGUGCAAA